UAAUACGGAGGGCGCAAGCGUUGUUCGGAAUCAUUGGGCGUAAAGCGCGUGUAGGCGGCUUGGCAAGUCGGGUGUGAAAUCCCGGGGCUCAACCCCGGAACUGCAUUCGAUACUGCCUCGCUAGAGUCCCGGAGAGGAGGGCGGAAUUCCCGGUGUAGAGGUGAAAUUCGUAGAUAUCGGGAGGAACACCAGUGGCGAAGGCGGCCCUCUGGACGGUGACUGACGCUGAGAUGCGAAAGCGUGGGGAGCAAACAGGAUUAGAUACCCUGGUAGUCCACGCUGUAAACGUUGGGUGCUAGGUGUCGCGGGUAUUGACCCCUGCGGUGCCGACGCUAACGCAUUUAGCACCCCGCCUGGGGAGUACGGUCGCAAGGCUA
rnacentral:rRNA from 1 species